GCGCAGCAGGCGCGAAACCUUCGCAAUGCGGGAAACCGCGACGAGGGGACUCCCAGUGCCUACGCUCAGCGUAGGCUGUUCCCGAGCCUAGAAAGCUCGGGGAGUAAGGGCUGGGUAAGACGGGUGCCAGCCGCCGCGGUAAUACCCGCAGCCCGAGUGGUGGCCACUAUUAUUGGGCCUAAAGCGUCCGUAGCCGGCCGGUAAAUGCCUGGGUAAAUCGUGAGGCCUAACCUCACGAAUUCCGGGUAGACUGCCGGGCUAGGGACCGGAGGAGGGAGAGGGUACUCCAGGGGUAGGGGUGAAAUCCUGUAAUCCCUGGAGGACCACCGGUGGCGAAGGCGCUCUCCUAGGACGGGUCCGACGGUGAGGGACGAAAGCCAGGGGAGCGAACCGGAUUAGAUACCCGCGUAGU
rnacentral:rRNA from 1 species